rnacentral:rRNA from 1 species
CGCUGGCGGCAUGCCUCAUACAUGCAAGUCGAACGAGGUCUUCGGACCUAGUGGCGCACGGGUGAGUAACAUGUGGGAAUCUGCCUGAAGGUUCGGAAUAACUAUGGGAAACUGUAGCUAAUACCGGAUGUGUCUGCAAAGAGAAAGAUUUAUCGCCUUCAGAUGAGCCCGCACUAGAUUAGCUAGUUGGUGAGGUAACUGCUCCACCAAGGCUACGAUCUAUAGCUGAUUUGAGAGGAUGAUCAGCCACACUGGGACUGAGACACGGCCCAGACUCCUACGGGAGGCAGCAGUAGGGAAUAUUGGACAAUGGGGGAAACCCUGAUCCAGCAAUGCCGCGUGAGUGAAGAAGGCCUUAGGGUUGUAAAACUCUUUCAUCAAUGAUGAUAAUGACAUUAGUUGAAGAAGAAGCUCCGGCUAACUUCGUGCCAGCAGCCGCGGUAAUACGAAGGGGGCUAGCGUUGUUCGGAAUCACUGGGCGUAAAGCGUAUGUAGGCGGAUCAAAAAGUUAGAUGUGAAAUCCCUGGGCUCAACCCAGGAACUGCAUUUAAAACUAGUGAUCUAGAAAUUGGUAAAGGUUAGUAGAAUUUCCAGUGUAGAGGUGAAAUUCGUAGAUAUUGGAAAGAAUACCAGAAGCGAAGGCGACUAACUAGGCCAUUUUUGACGCUGAGAUACGAAAGCGUGGGUAGCAAACAGGAUUAGAUACCCUGGUAGUCCACGCAGUAAACGAUGAGUGCUAGUCGCUGGGACAUUAGUUUCAGUGUCGAAGCUAACGCAUUAAGCACUCCGCCUGGGAAGUACGGUCG